UGCCGAGCCGGCGCGUGCGCAGAGGGUGCUCAGGUAGAAGUCAGAAGAGCCGCUGCCUCUGGGCGGAGAUGUUGACUGGAAAAACACUAAGAGACCUCUGGGCUGCUGGAAAUGCUUUAUCACUGGAUUCUGGGGUGGUUACAUAGGAGUACACUUCAGUAAACCUUUAAACUGCUCA